GACAGAUGACGCCCCAGCUUGACUCGAGAUCAAGACUCCUUACAGCUCGCAUCAAUAGCGGUGCGGGCGGAGAUUGAUUGAAAAGGCGCAGCCCUGCCGCCCCCUAGCCGCCUACCUACUCGUGUUCGUAGCUCGAUCGGAGGUCAAGACUGUGGUCCAGCGGAAAAACAGAAGUCGUCCAUAUCAAGUGAUACGUGAAUUGCUCAGUAGUGCUUCGCUACUACCGUAGCUGGCGGAAAUAGCUUAAUUGGUAGAGCGUAGCCUUGUCAAGGCUGAGGUUGAGGGUUCAAGUCCCUCCUUCCGCUUCCGGCUUCGUCG
rnacentral:tRNA from 1 species